rfam:Triticum aestivum genome assembly, contig: Triticum_aestivum_CS42_TGACv1_scaffold_222957_3B
CUAGUACUCCCUCCGUUCCAAAAUAGAUGACUCAACUUUGUACUAAUAUUAGUAUUAGUACAAAGUUGAGUCAUCUAUUUUGGAACGGAGGGAGUAUUUC